rnacentral:lncRNA from 1 species
UGCUUGCAGCGGAGAGCAGGAAGGGGAGCAGGGCCGGGAAAGGGGGCUGGCGGGCGCUAUAUCUGGGAGUAAGUUUCAGGAUCAGGAGAGCCUGCACGCUGGCUCGCUACUCUGCUCGCCCCCCAAGCGGAGGCUGGUCUUGUCGGAUUGCCCGUGCACUUGUUGCCGAAACAGCCAAGACCCAGGUCUCCUCUUCCCGCCUGCCCAGCAGCAUGAAAGCAUGACUGGCCGGCCGCAGGAGAAGCCCUCAGAGCCAGG